AUCUCUAAGUUAAAACGGACAUUUCCUGACUGGCCAGACACUUGGAGUUCUGAUUUCAUCUCCCUUUAGCAUCUGCCAGGAAAGAGACAAAAUGCAGAGGUCCAAGAAAGUUCUCCCACAAGAGGACAGGAUCUUGACAGAGAUUCAAUGCUUAGAAGAACUGUACAGAAGAUACAGUAAGUGUGGAGGCUGCUAGAGUUCAAGAGACCAGAAUGCAUUCAAUCUACCCAGAAGCCUGAGCCAAUCAUGACAUUGGAGGCAGGAUUCCUGGAUGGAUGUUGCUGCCAAGGGAGCAAGGAAGCCCGAGGAGCUUGCGUGGCCAUUGAGCAUCACUGGAGAAAAGUCACAAGACUGAGAUGAUUUCACCCACUACAAUUUCAAAGUACAUAACCCCAGCUGAGACCUCAUUACUGCUCAUUACAAUAUUUCUGCUGGGUGCUGCUCCUCAGCUCCCUUCUCAUCAUCCUGAGAUGGCAGUGUUCCAAGAAUUCCUUCUUUCACUCCCAACUUCACCCCCAUAUCCACCCUCAUCCUUAAAGCAGCUUUGGUUGAUUUACCUACUUAUUUCUUUGAGAAAAUGAAGACUCGCAGAAACUAUUUCAAUUUCCCCCCUACCCAUGUUCAAUUAUAAGGGGAAGAGAAGAGAAUAAACAUUUACGUAAUGCCUACUAUCUACCAGACAUUGUGCUGAACUUUAGAAAUAUUAUCUCAUUUGAUCUUCACGACAACCCUUUAAGAUAGGUGUCCUUAUUAUCCCCCAUUUUAUAUUUUAGGAAAUCAGGUCAAAUAAAGGGAUAGCUAAGUGAUGCAGUGGGUGGAGUGCUCAACUUGGAAUCAGAAAAAUUAAUCUUCAUGAUCUCAAAUCUGGCCUCAGACAUGUUCUAGCUAUAUGAUCCUGGGCAAGUCACAUAACCCUACUUGCCUCAUCUGUAAAAUUAACUGGAAAAGAAAAUGGCAAAGCACUUGAAGUGCUUUGCCAAGAAAACCCCAAAUGGUAUCACAAAGAAUUGGACAAGAGUGAACAAUAACAAUGGGGCAAACAGGGCAAAACUAUUUGCCUGGGGUUACACAGCUAAUAAGAGUCUCAGGAACUUUUUUAACUCAGGAAAAUGAGUCUUACUAACUCCAGGCUGGGUGCUCUAUUUAUUGCUCCACUUAGGGCUACAUGCCAAGAUGAGAUUUUUUUUCUAGGUAAGUAAGAAUAAGAGAUAGGACAAGAUUUGAUAAAAGACAAAAUAAAAUUUAAUAACUCAUAGGAAGGAUAUAAGCUGGCCAGAAUAGCUUGCUUGCAUGUGCUUCUCACCAUUAACAAAUUCUUUCAUCCUUAGAGAAUGUCAAUAGCAUGUUUUCAUUGGGCUAUUACCACAAAAUGCCUACCCUGGAAAGCCCAGUUGGCAAGAUCUUCACAGAAUGGAAAAUAAUUAUGCUUUGUCUCUUUUUCCCCCAAUUUUUAAACAUUUUUACUUAAAGUUUUGAGUUCCAAAUUCUAUUCCUCUUUCUUUUUCUUUCCUUCCCCUUCUCUGAGCCAGUGAACAAUCAGAUAAAUGUUAUGUAUGUGCAAUUGUGUAAAAUGGUUCCAUAUUUGUCAUUUUGUACAAGCAGAUUCAAAUAAAAAAAAAGAAAUGCAAAACAGCAUGCUUCGGUACAUAUCCAAUAUCAAUUCUUUCUCUGGAGGCAGAUAGUAUGCUUCAUCAUUAGUCCUUUGGGAUUGUCUUGAAUUGUAUUAGCUUACAUUAGUAUGUAGCUGAGAACAGCUAAAUCAUUCCAAAUUCUUCAUCAGUCAAUCUGUUCACUUCAUUCUGCAUCAGUUCAUGUAAGUCUUUUCAGGUUUUUCUGAAAUCAUGCUGCUUGUCAUUGCUUAUAGCACAAUUCCCAUUGCAAUCAAAUACUACAGCUUAUUUAGCUAUUCCCUGUUUGAUGGACAUCCCCUUAAUUUUUCAUUCUUAGCUACCAUAAAAAGAGUUGCCAUUUUUAUACAAAUAGGUCCUUUUCCCUUUUUUUGGAUGUACCCUGAAUCUCUUUGAGGCUUCUCUUCCUCCCUCCAGUAACUAUGACUCCCAUCAUAUACAGCUACAUUUUUUCACCUGAUAUUCCUCUUAUCUUUUUGAUGGUUGUGAAGGGAAUUGACAAGAAACACCUGGAAGACUAUUUUGAUCAUCUUCCUCAGGUAAGAACAAGAACCUAGAAGGGCCAGUGAAGAAUAUUGAAGUCUAUAAUUGAGAGAACAGAAUUGGCAGGAAGGGGAAAUAGAAAGAUGAGUCUUUCUAACUUGAAAUCUGCCUUCAUACUUAUUAGCUGUGUGACUCUGGGCAAGCUACUUAACUAUGUUUGCCUCAGUUUCCUAAACUAUAAGGAAAUGACAAAAUAGUCCAGUAUAUUUACCAAGAAAAUCCUAAAUGGGGGUAAUGAUGAAAAUGUCAGAACAACAACAACAACAACAAAAAAAACAACAACAUAUAUUAAUUUUAUAUCAGAAUCCAAAUUUCCUUACUCUCAAUUCAGGAAGAAUUUUUCAUGAUACCCCUUAAAGAAGUUGGAAGGCUGCCUCCUCUUCCAUGGAGAAAGCUAAGUGAUAGGACCUCAAAUGUAAUAGUGAAUGAAAGACAUGACACUAACAGUAGAAAAGGAAGGGGAUAGGAGGUAGCCUGGAACAGAGAUGUCUUCCUGUGCUUAAUCCAUGUAACACUGGAGAAAGAAAAAGUGGUAGUAGGACAAAAUGGGAAGUCAGAUGACCCUGUUUGAAUUCCAGCUCUACCAUCUACUAUCUGUAUGACUUUAGGUUAGUAACAGAACUCUCUAGAUCUCAGAUCCUCAAUCAAUUAAAUGUUAAGGUCAAUCAGCUAAUGGCUAGAGCCAAGAGUUGGAGUGUAUUAUUGGAGGCUCAUGAAACACUUUCCCAAACAUGACCCCACUUGAUCCUUGCAACAACUCUAUGAGGCAGGUAACAUAUUAUUAAACUUAUUUUAUAGGUAGGCAAAUCAAGGAUCAAAGAGAUUAAAAAAAAAAAAAAAAAAAAAACUUGGCCGAAGUUGCAUAGGCUUUAAAGAAUGAAAAAAGCCUAACAAAACUGUGCACUUGAAGGAGAUGGGGGAAGAGCACUGAAGAGGGAAGAACAGGGAGAGACAAAUGUAGACAAAAAGGGCAGUGGAGGAGGAAGAUAGUCCCCAAAACAAAUUGCCAAAACAAAAAAAAAAUAUCCAACUUUUGUUCAUGGAUAGCCCCUGGAAGAGGAGGGAGAGGGGGGGGACUCUUGAGUACUAUGAAUGUUGAUAGUAGGAAGGGAGGCAGAUGAUUUAGGGAAUUGCAAUGAAUUUUUAAAUCCCCCAUGGAAAUUCAGAGAUGCAGGUGUUUUCAAUACCAGAUCCUUCCCAGGACACAUCUCUACACGUGGCUAUGAGCCUUAUGUUCCCCUAGUCUCUGAGGCGGAAGCUAAGGCCUUCAGCUCAUCUCUAAUUUGACUUCUAAAACCUGGGCUGCUUCCAAGUCUUGAAUAAGCAAGAUAUUGAUAGCCCUGGCAGAGACAGCUCUGAGAAGAGCCAGGGCAGUGAAUGGUUCCCAUACCACUUUGCCAAUUCACUUCAGACCUAACCUACUUACUGCUCUUCAUGCCAAUCAUGCAAAACUUCAGGGUGGAAAGGGAUGAAGGGAAUAUUUUCUCUUUUUCUUCUUUUCCUCUUUUUUUUUCGAGAGUUAAUAUCAAAGGAAUAUAUUCUAGAGAAACACUUUCAGAGAAACUAUGAAGAGAGAAUUAUGCUCAUGUGCCAGGAGAAAAAGUUUGAUAUCUUUAUAAACAAAACCAUAGUCAAGAGUAACUUUUCUAAUAUUUCUCAAAAAUGAUGUAUAUUGCUGUUCUUUUCCCCCAAGGCAAUUGGGGUUAGGUGACUUGCCCAGAGUAACACAGCUAGGAAGUAUUAAGUGUCUGAGUUUAGAUUUGAACUCGUAUCCUCCUGACUUCAGGGCUGGUGCUCUAUCCACUGUGCCACCUAGCUGCCCUUGUAUUGCUGUUCUUUCUUGGAUAAACUUUUGCCUCAUCUGUUCUGUUAGGGUCAAGACAUUCCAAUCCAAUUCAAAAUUCAUUUAUUAAAUGUUCCCAUGCACUGGCAUUGGGCCUGGCAUGAAGAUAUUUUGACAAAAAUGAAACAUUUCCUGCUCGUAAGAAACUUACAUUUUGCCAGAGCAAAACAAAAAAGCAAGUUUAAAAUAUUCAUAAAAUAAAAAUAGUUGAGUUUUGGAGGGGAUGAAAUAGAGGUGAUGGAAGGAAAUAUUUGUUGGCUGAGUCAGGAAACUGUUUCUCUUUUGUAGGUGAGUGGCAUCUGUUGAGCCUUACUUAACUCAUUUUCAAUUAUCCAUAAAGGGAUUAUCUGCUUUAUGUAUUGAUAAGGGCACAUUUUUUACUUGGUUUCAUUUAGUCUAUCUGGAGCUACUUUUUAUCUUUAGUCCAUAUGCCCUUGGGGAAAGGAUAACUCAUUUUAAUAUUGAUCUCCACAAAACUUAAUUAAGAAGUGAAAUUUGGAAUGCAUCAUAUGUUGAUGUGUGUUUCAGCUGAAAAGUGAACUAUAAAUGAUUUUCUGGAUUCUGUGCUCUUUAGCUUUUCAUUCAUUCAUUUCACAAACAUUUGUUAACUACUGUGAGCCAGGAAUUAUAGAUAAUUUUUUUUAAAAACCUCCCCUCAAAGAACUUACAUUCUAUUGAUUAAAACAACAUGUAUACAGAUAAGUAAAUAGGAAAUAAAUACAAGAUUACUUCUGGUGAGCAUCAGCAACUAGGGAUCAAAGACAGGCAUGUUUUACAAUAACUGUGAUGUUUUCUCCCACUAGUAUAUAGAGGCAAGAGUUGACAAUAUCUAGCAUUUUCCUUAGUCAGAGAUAUCUCUCAGAAGAAUAGAUGGAGGGGUAGAAGUCAUCUAGGAAGCCAUCUACUUCAACUUCCUCAUUAUGCACAUAAGUCCAAAUGAGUUGCCUGAGGUCAAAAUUGAGAUUUGAAGCUAUGUCU